rnacentral:tRNA from 1 species
GCGGUCAACGCGCUGGUCUUCGUGGCGGUGGCGCUCGUCACGCCGCGCGUGCUGCCGCGCACCGUGGCGGCGCAGCCCGCCUGACCGGUC